AGUCGAACGAUAGAUAGAAGCUUGCUUUUAUCGAAAGUGGCGCACGGGUGCGUAACGCGUAUGCAACCUACCUUAAUCUGGGGGAUAGCCCGGAGAAAUCCGGAUUAAUACCGCAUAAAAUCACAGGAUGGCAUUAUCCAAUGAUCAAACAUUUAUGGGAUUGAGAUGGGCAUGCGUGUCAUUAGCUAGUUGGCGGGGUAACGGCCCACCAAGGCGACGAUGACUAGGGGAUCUGAGAGGAUGGCCCCCCACACUGGUACUGAGACACGGACCAGACUCCUACGGGAGGCAGCAGUAAGGAAUAUUGGUCAAUGGAGGCAACUCUGAACCAGCCAUGCCGCGUGCAGGAAGACUGCCCUAUGGGUUGUAAACUGCUUUUAUCCGGGAAUAAACCUAUCUACGUGUAGAUAGCUGAAUGUACCGGAAGAAUAAGGAUCGGCUAACUCCGUGCCAGCAGCCGCGGUAAUACGGAGGAUCCAAGCGUAGUAUCCGGAUUUAUUGGGUUUAAAGGGUGCGUAGGCGGCCUGUUAAGUCAGGGGUGAAAGACGGUAGCUCAACUAUCGCAGUGCCCUUGAUACUGAUGGGCUUGAAUGGACUAGAGGUAGGCGGAAUGAGACAAGUAGCGGUGAAAUGCAUAGAUAUGUCUCAGAACACCGAUUGCGAAGGCAGCUUACUAUGGUCCUAUUGACGCUGAGGCACGAAAGCGUGGGGAUCAAACAGGAUUAGAUACCCUGGUAGUCCACGCCCUAAACGAUGAACACUCGCUGUUGGCGAUACACAGUCAGCGGCUAAGCGAAAGCGUUAAGUGUUCCACCUGGGGAGUACGCUCGCAAGAGUGAAACUCAAAGGAAUUGACGGGGGCCCGCACAAGCGGAGGAGCAUGUGGUUUAAUUCGAUGAUACGCGAGGAACCUUACCCGGGCUUGAAAGUUAGUGAAUCAUUUAGAGAUAAAUGAGUGAGCAAUCACACGAAACUAGGUGCUGCAUGGCUGUCGUCAGCUCGUGCCGUGAGGUGUUGGGUUAAGUCCCGCAACGAGCGCAAACCCCUAUGUUUAGUUGCCAGCACGUUAUGGUGGGGACUCUAAACAGACUGCCUGUGCAAACAGAGAGGAAGGAGGGGACGACGUCAAGUCAUCAUGGCCCUUACGUCCGGGGCUACACACGUGCUACAAUGGAUGGUACAGAGGGCAGCUACAUAGCAAUAUGAUGCGAAUCUCACAAAGCCAUUCACAGUUCGGAUUGGGGUCUGCAACUCGACCCCAUGAAGUUGGAUUCGCUAGUAAUCGCGUAUCAGCAAUGACGCGGUGAAUACGUUCCCGGGCCUUGUACACACCGCCCGUCAAGCCAUGGAAGUUGGGGGUACCUAAAGUAUGUAACCGCAAGGAGCGUCCUAGGGUAAAACCGAU
rnacentral:rRNA from 1 species